rnacentral:rRNA from 1 species
CAGCGCCGCGGUAAUACAGAGGGUGCGAGCGUUAAUCGGAUUUACUGGGCGUAAAGCGUGCGUAGGCGGCUUCUUAAGUCGGAUGUGAAAUCCCUGAGCUUAACUUAGGAAUUGCAUUCGAUACUGGGAAGCUAGAGUAUGGGAGAGGAUGGUAGAAUUCCAGGUGUAGCGGUGAAAUGCGUAGAGAUCUGGAGGAAUACCGAUGGCGAAGGCAGCCAUCUGGCCUAAUACUGACGCUGAGGUACGAAAGCAUGGGCAGCAAACAGGAUUAGAUACCCCUGUAGUCCCUGUCUCUUAUACA